UCAAAUAAAAUUACCAAAAUGUGGUCCUCAUGUCAACUUUCGUCUCUUCAUAGAAUCACUUGAUACACACUCUAUGCUGAUCAUAUCAGGCCUGAGCCAGCCAUCAUAACAAUACGCCAGUUUUGCAUGUGCUGGUAUUAACCUGUCAUCAGCAAUAAUUUCAGGAUCAUCAUUUGGAUAAUCAGCAUCCCAUUUGAUGGGAGUAAUUCCCCUUUAUUUAAAUGUUCUCGUGUAUGCCCAUGUGAGUGUGGGUGUAUUCACGAGGACCCCCCUUUUCCCUAUCCGAUUCAACUUUUCAGCGGAUGGCUGGAGCUCUUGCGGAUGGAUGCCUGGCCGUAUAUUUCCCAGUCUCAAAGGUAGGGCAAAUGUACUAUUUCUAUUCUUUUUUUUUUGACUGGCGGCUUAUUUUCGUUGUCGUUGAUUGUGAAUUGUUACAUAGCACCGAGUACGAUUACUCCUUUGCUAUGCGGUUGAUUCCAACGGUUUUCUUUUUAUUGACUCGGUCAGGGCUCAUUAAAUAACUCUUUGGUAGAACGACUGCAAAUCAGGCCCUGCUUUGUACCUCACUACUUUUUCUCUGGGUCUAACCCAUCAAAUUUCGAAAAAUAUUUCAACUUUAAACACUUUAAGCAUAACUAGAAAAAUUUCAAGUCCAAAAGGAACUCGUUAUAUUUGCCCUUCCAAAAUGAUUGAUCUUCUCCCAUGCACGAAAAAAAAGGUUUAACUGUCUUUAUUUCUUUAUUUUUACAACCUCCAACAACAUUACUAUUUUCUAUAGUUUUACUACUAUACUAAGCUGCAGCCCAGGUAGAUGCGAUAUCCUUUUACGGGUUGUGUCGUCUGGCCAGCAGAAAACCAUCUGUUCAGAAAAAAGUAACACGCAGACGGUUGCCGAAACGAGCACAAAAGUUCAGAGAGUCUCAAACGCGUUUGACACCUUCCCAUAAAACACAAAAACGGAAAAGAGUCUAGGUACACACACACCGGGAAUAAAUGGCCAAUCAAUAUGACGUCUUAUAACCAUUAGAUUUCCCCUCCUUACGGUAUACCGUCUGCAUGACCUAAACGUUCUCAAAAAAUCGACCCAAUCACAAAGGGAAAGUUUACCGAUGAAUAUAUUUAAAUAAAACAAGAAACAAAUCAGUUUUCCCGAACGAACGAAUGUUCGAUGACGACUAAGGGAAUCUCCCCAUACAAGAGACGUGUGU